GAUGAACGCUGGCGGCGUGCCUAAUACAUGCAAGUCGAGCGAAUGGAUUAAGAGCUUGCUCCUAUGAAGUUAGCGGCGGACGGGUGAGUAACACGUGGGUAACCUGCCCAUAAGACUGGGAUAACUCCGGGAAACCGGGGAUAAUACCGGAUAACAUUUUGACGCACAUGGUUCGAAAUUGAAAGGCGGCUUCGGCUGUAACUUAUGGAUGGACCCGCGUCGCAUUAGCUAGUUGGUGAGGUAACGGCUCACCAAGGCAACGAUGCGUAGCCGGCCUGAGAGGGUAAUCGGCAACACUGGGACUGGGACUCGGCCCAGACUCCUACGGGAGGCAGCAGUAGGGAAUCUUCCGCAAUCGACGAAAGUCUGACGGAGCAACGCCGCGUGAGUGAUGAAGGCUUUCGGGUCGUAAAACUCUGUUGUUAGGGAAGAACAAGUGCUAGUUGAAUAAGCUGGCACCUUGACGGUACCUAACCAGAAAGCCACGGCUAACUACGUGCCAGCCGCCGCCGUAA
rnacentral:rRNA from 1 species